rnacentral:rRNA from 1 species
UACGUAGGGGGCAAGCGUUGUCCGGAAUCAUUGGGCGUAAAGAGCGUGUAGGCGGUCCGGUCAGUCGGUUGUGAAAGUCAAGGGCUCAACCCUUGAAUGCCGGCCGAUACUGCCGGGCUAGAGUCCGGAAGAGGUGAGUGGAAUUCCUGGUGUAGCGGUGAAAUGCGCAGAUAUCAGGAGGAACACCGAUGGCGAAGGCAGCUCGCUGGGACGGUACUGACGCUGAGACGCGAAAGCGUGGGGAGCAAACAGG